CCUUGGAGGGGCACUACUUCUGGGUAAGUCGCAGGGUGUGGGGUGAUGACUUCUGUGCCUGGCCGCCACACCUCCAGGGAGAAGGCCCUGCCACAAACCGCCAUCGCACCCGAGGUUGAACAAAUUUAAUGUGGGACACCUCAGCAAACCUUUGGCUGUCGCUUUGCUGCCUUCCCAGCUUGAUGGGCAGGUAUUCCAAAUUUACCAACAUUGGGGCCUGCAGGAUUUCCAGGUGCUGGUCACCGUGACAGCAAUGGCAACGGGGACAGACCUCUAGUCCUGAGGGACAUCUUUGUGGAAGCAGCGGAGCCCAGGUCCCUGGGUUCCUGUCAUGAUGGGGACACUCGAAGGAAUGAUUUCUGAUUACAUGUCAGCACCCCUGGGCAUUUUCAAAGGUGCAGGCAGGUCAGCAGGGGACCCUGCUUCGUGUGGAUACCGAGCUCUACCACCUGCAACAAGCAACCUUGUCAGCUGCAGAGGGAGAGAAUCACCGGGUGCUGGCUUUUCAGGGUCACUUCCAGGGGCAACUCACGGGCCAGACCUUGUAGCACGGCCUUCCCCGGGGCUGGGAGUAGGAAAAGUCAGCGCCAUCCGUCAGCUGGUAGCAGAUGUAAGAUCUGGAAUAAGACAUCCGAUGUCUUUACUAAUCUAAUCAGAUGCAUGAUUAGGGCAAUUACCUUCCUCUCAGUUUUGCCACCUCUCAAAUAAAGGGGCUGAAUCAGAUCCCCUGAAGCCAUCUCUGGUACUGACCUUCCAAAAUUUUGUGCGGAUGGUAGAGAUCGAUAAGGAAGGAAGGAAAGGAAGGAAGAAAUAUUUAAAGGAAACGUAAAAAUGCUCUCUGGCAAAGUGGAAAACACUGCUAUCUGAGACAAAACAAAGAGACAGUGCCUCACUGCUGAUCCCGAUGCAAGUUCAUCAUCAUAUUUCCACACAGAAUCAUCCCUGAAGCAGAGGAAAAUGGAAAGUUAAUUGGAGAGAUAGGAGCUGCUUCACGUGUUCAUUUGCAGUUACCGAAUUUUCUUUUGUCAAACGUUAAAGUACUUACUUUGAGUUUGUGGUGCGGAACCUAUAGAACGAGUGAGGCUGGAGCUGCAAGUCUGACCCCUCCUGAGGGCACAGGGGACAAUGACCCGGCGGCUGGGACGCUGAGGGACUGUGGACACUGAGACAAUAGGUGUUCUUUACAAAGGAACCCGGGGAAAACUAAUUCGCUUAAUUAAGGAGGAGGAGCCUUUUGAAGCAGUCAUUAAGGAUGAAGUCAUAUGCACCAGUGCACACAAAAAACUUUGCCUUUACAUUUCUUUUGUGGAAACAUCUGGCAAAAACAUGUUGAAAAGAGAAAACUUUUCUGUGUUGUGCAGCAGGAUCUUGAUGAAAGAUGAAAACUUGAGCUAAUUACAGGAUGUCUGCAAAAAGAAAGGGCUCGCUUUAUAGUUUAGACCCAUUUUUCUCCCUACAGGGUAGAGUGUCUAAUGCAAAAGCAGUGGUAUGCUGUGGAAAAUAAAUAUGGGGUGGGACACAACGGAUCGUAACUAAUAUAUAACACUGUACCAGAAGGGUUAUUAAAAUAGCGUUCAAUUUUACUUGCUUUUAUAAGUGCUCCAAGAGAAAAACAGACAACUCUGAAACCCGUAGGAUAAACACACCACAGCAGCGUACCUUAGGUGUAAAAUACUGCAGACCUUUUCUCAAAAAUGUCCCAGCUG